ACUCGUUAUGGCUAUACCAUUCUUCGAGUUUGCAACUCGAUGUUUUCUAUAAACUACAACGAG
rnacentral:tRNA from 1 species